rnacentral:rRNA from 1 species
UACAGAGGUCCCAAGCGUUUUUCGGAUUCACUGGGCGUAAAGGGUGCGUAGGUGGUCGGGUAAGUCUAAUGUGAAAUCUCCGAGCUCAACUCGGAAAAUGCAUCGGAAACUAUCCGACUAGAGGAAUGGAGGGGAGACUGGAAUACUUGGUGUAGCAGUGAAAUGCGUAGAUAUCAAGUGGAACACCAGUGGCGAAGGCGAGUCUCUGGACAUUUCCUGACGCUGAGGCACGAAAGCUAGGGGAGCAAACAGG